GGGUUGCUGUUUGUAAACCAGGUGUCAGAUUCUGUGAAAUAGGCAAUGCAAUCAGUUCUGCUGCUCACAGUGCUGGAUUCUCUGUGAUUCCUGAAUUCUGUGGACAUGGAAUAGGAGAAAACUUCCACGAAAAGCCUGAUAUCCUCCACUUCGAGCAUCAUGAUGAGGCUGUCAUGGCACCUAGGAUGACUUUCACUGUGGAGCCAAUUAUUUGUUCGGACAA